GACAGAGGUGCCAAGCGUUAGGCGGAAUCACUGGGCUUAAAGCGUGUGUAGGCGGAAUGGUAAGUACCUUGUGAAAUCCCACGGCUCAACCGUGGAACUGCUGGGUAUACUGCCCUUCUUGAGCCACUUAGGGGCUGUCGGAACAAACGGUGGAGCGGUGAAAUGCGUAGAUAUCGCUUGGAACGCCAAUGGUGAAAACAGCUCGCUGGGGGUGUGCUGACGCUGAGACACGAAAGCCAGGGGGAGCGAACGGG
rnacentral:rRNA from 1 species